GAUCAUGGCUCAGGAUGAACGCUAGCUACAGGCUUAACACAUGCAAGUCGAGGGGCAGCAUGGUCUUAGCUUGCUAAGGCCGAUGGCGACCGGCCCACGGGUGAGUAACGCGUAUCCAACCUGCCUUACACUCUUGGACAGCCUUCUGAAAGGGAGAUUAAUACAAGAUGUUAUCAUGAGUAAGCAUUUUCGCAUGAUUAAAGGUUUACCGGUGUAAGAUGGGGAUGCGUUCCAUUAG
rnacentral:rRNA from 1 species